AGUCGAGCGGCAGCACAGAGGAACUUGUUCCUUGGGUGGCGAGCGGCGGACAGGUGAGUAAUGCCCAGGAAAUUGCCCUGAUGUGGGGGAUGACCAUUGGAAACGAUGGCUAAUACCGCAUGAUGCCUACGGGCCAAAGAGGGGGACCUUCGGGCCUCUCGCGUCAGGAUAUGCCUAGGCGGGAUUAGCUAGUUGGUGAGGUAAUGGCUCACCAAGGCGACGAUCCCUAGCUGGUCUGAGAGGAUGAUCAGCCACACUGGAACUGAGACACGGUCCAGACUCCUACGGGAGGCAGCAGUGGGGAAUAUUGCACAAUGGGCGCAAGCCUGAUGCAGCCAUGCCGCGUGUAUGAAGAAGGCCUUCGGGUCGUAAAGUACUUUCAGUCGUGAGGAAGGUGGUGUUGUUAAUAGCAGCAUCAUUUGACGUUAGCGACAGAAGAAGCACCGGCUAACUCCGUGCCAGCAGCCGCGGUAAUACGGAGGGUGCGAGCGUUAAUCGGAAUUACUGGGCGUAAAGCGCAUGCAGGUGGUGGAUUAAGUCAGAUGUGAAAGCCCGGGGCUCAACCUCGGAACCGCAUUUGAAACUGGUUCACUAGAGUACUGUAGAGGGGGGUAGAAUUUCAGUGUAGCGGUGAAAUGCGUAGAGAUCUGAAAGGAUACCGGUGGCGAAGGCGGCCCCCUGGACAGAUACUGACACUCAGAUGCGAAAGCGUGGGGAGCAAACAGGAUUAGAUACCCUGUAGUCCACGCCGUAACGAUGUCUACUUUGGAGUUGUGCCUUGAGCCGUGCUUUCGAGCUAACGCGU
rnacentral:rRNA from 1 species